AUUGAACGCUGGCGGCAGGCCUAACACAUGCAAGUCGAACGGUAACAGGAAGCAGCUUGCUGCUUUGCUGACGAGUGGCGGACGGGUGAGUAAUGUCUGGGAAACUGCCUGAUGGAGGGGGAUAACUACUGGAAACGGUAGCUAAUACCGCAUAACGUCGCAAGACCAAAGAGGGGGACCUUAGGGCCUCUUGCCAUCGGAUGUGCCCAGAUGGGAUUAGCUAGUAGGUGGGGUAACGGCUCACCUAGGCGACGAUCCCUAGCUGGUCUGAGAGGAUGACCAGCCACACUGGAACUGAGACACGGUCCAGACUCCUACGGGAGGCAGCAGUGGGGAAUAUUGCACAAUGGGCGCAAGCAUGAUGCAGCCAUGCCGCGUGUAUGAAGAAGGCCUUCGGGUUGUAAAGUACUUUCAGCGGGGAGGAAGGGAGUAAAGUUAAUACCUUUGCUCAUUGACGUUACCCGCAGAAGAAGCACCGGCUAACUACGUG
rnacentral:rRNA from 1 species